rnacentral:rRNA from 1 species
UACGUAGGGGCCGAGCGUUGUCCGGAUUUAUUGGGCGUAAAGAGCUCGUAGGCGGCUUGUUGCGUCGACUGUGAAAACCCGCGGCUUAACUGCGGGCUUGCAGUUGAUACGGGCAGGCUAGAGUUCGGUAGGGGAGACUGGAAUUCCUGGUGUAGCGGUGAAAUGCGCAGAUAUCAGGAGGAACACCGGUGGCGAAGGCGGGUCUCUGGGCCGAUACUGACGCUGAGGAGCGAAAGCGUGGGGAGCGAACAGG